rnacentral:rRNA from 1 species
ACGAACGCUGGCGGCGUGCUUCACCCGUGCCAGUCGCACGGAAAGGCCCUGCUUUUGUGGGGUGCUCGAGUGGCGAACGGGUGAGUAACACGUGAGUAACCUGCCCUUGACUUUGGGAUAACUUCAGGAAACUGGGGCUAAUACCGGAUAGGAGCUCCUGCUGCAUGGUGGGGGUUGGAAAGUUUCGGCGGUUGGGGAUGGACUCGCGGCUUAUCAGCUUGUUGGUGGGGUAGUGGCUUACCAAGGCUUUGACGGGUAGCCGGCCUGAGAGGGUGACCGGCCACAUUGGGACUGAGAUACGGCCCAGACUCCUACGGGAGGCAGCAGUGGGGAAUAUUGCACAAUGGGCGGAAGCCUGAUGCAGCAACGCCGCGUGCGGGAUGACGGCCUUCGGGUUGUAAACCGCUUUCGCCUGUGACGAAGCGUGAGUGACGGUAAUGGGUAAAGAAGCACCGGCUAACUACGUG